rnacentral:rRNA from 1 species
AGCGUACACGGUGGAUGCCCUGGCAGUCAGAGGCGAUGAAGGACGUGCUAAUCUGCGAUAAGCGUCGGUAAGGUGAUAUGAACCGUUAUAACCGGCGAUUUCCGAAUGGGGAAACCCAGUGUGAUUCGUCACACUAUCAUUAACUGAAUCCAUAGGUUAAUGAGGCGAACCGGGGGAACUGAAACAUCUAAGUACCCCGAGGAAAAGAAAUCAACCGAGAUUCCCCCAGUAGCGGCGAGCGAACGGGGAGCAGCCCAGAGCCUGAAUCAGUGUGUGUGUUAGUGGAAGCGUCUGGAAAGGCGCGCGAUACAGGGUGACAGCCCCGUACACAAAAAUGCACAUGCUGUGAGCUCGAUGAGUAGGGCGGGACACGUGGUAUCCUGUCUGAAUAUGGGGGGACCAUCCUCCAAGGCUAAAUACUCCUGACUGACCGAUAGUGAACCAGUACCGUGAGGGAAAGGCGAAAAGAACCCCGGCGAGGGGAGUGAAAAAGAACCUGAAACCGUGUACGUACAAGCAGUGGGAGCACGCUUAGGCGUGUGACUGCGUACCUUUUGUAUAAUGGGUCAGCGACUUAUAUUCUGUAGCAAGGUUAACCGAAUAGGGGAGCCGAAGGGAAACCGAGUCUUAACUGGGCGUUAAGUUGCAGGGUAUAGACCCGAAACCCGGUGAUCUAGCCAUGGGCAGGUUGAAGGUUGGGUAACACUAACUGGAGGACCGAACCGACUAAUGUUGAAAAAUUAGCGGAUGACUUGUGGCUGGGGGUGAAAGGCCAAUCAAACCGGGAGAUAGCUGGUUCUCCCCGAAAGCUAUUUAGGUAGCGCCUCGUGAAUUCAUCUUCGGGGGUAGAGCACUGUUUCGGCUAGGGGGUCAUCCCGACUUACCAACCCGAUGCAAACUGCGAAUACCGAAGAAUGUUAUCACGGGAGACACACGGCGGGUGCUAACGUCCGUCGUGAAGAGGGAAACAACCCAGACCGCCAGCUAAGGUCCCAAAGUCAUGGUUAAGUGGGAAACGAUGUGGGAAGGCCCAGACAGCCAGGAUGUUGGCUUAGAAGCAGCCAUCAUUUAAAGAAAGCGUAAUAGCUCACUGGUCGAGUCGGCCUGCGCGGAAGAUGUAACGGGGCUAAACCAUGCACCGAAGCUGCGGCAGCGACGCUUAUGCGUUGUUGGGUAGGGGAGCGUUCUGUAAGCCUGCGAAGGUGUACUGUGAGGUAUGCUGGAGGUAUCAGAAGUGCGAAUGCUGACAUAAGUAACGAUAAAGCGGGUGAAAAGCCCGCUCGCCGGAAGACCAAGGGUUCCUGUCCAACGUUAAUCGGGGCAGGGUGAGUCGACCCCUAAGGCGAGGCCGAAAGGCGUAGUCGAUGGGAAACAGGUUAAUAUUCCUGUACUUGGUGUUACUGCGAAGGGGGGACGGAGAAGGCUAUGUUGGCCGGGCGACGGUUGUCCCGGUUUAAGCGUGUAGGCUGGUUUUCCAGGCAAAUCCGGAAAAUCAAGGCUGAGGCGUGAUGACGAGGCACUACGGUGCUGAAGCAACAAAUGCCCUGCUUCCAGGAAAAGCCUCUAAGCAUCAGGUAACAUCAAAUCGUACCCCAAACCGACACAGGUGGUCAGGUAGAGAAUACCAAGGCGCUUGAGAGAACUCGGGUGAAGGAACUAGGCAAAAUGGUGCCGUAACUUCGGGAGAAGGCACGCUGAUAUGUAGGUGAAGUCCCUCGCGGAUGGAGCUGAAAUCAGUCGAAGAUACCAGCUGGCUGCAACUGUUUAUUAAAAACACAGCACUGUGCAAACACGAAAGUGGACGUAUACGGUGUGACGCCUGCCCGGUGCCGGAAGGUUAAUUGAUGGGGUCAGCGCAAGCGAAGCUCUUGAUCGAAGCCCCGGUAAACGGCGGCCGUAACUAUAACGGUCCUAAGGUAGCGAAAUUCCUUGUCGGGUAAGUUCCGACCUGCACGAAUGGCGUAAUGAUGGCCAGGCUGUCUCCACCCGAGACUCAGUGAAAUUGAACUCGCUGUGAAGAUGCAGUGUACCCGCGGCAAGACGGAAAGACCCCGUGAACCUUUACUAUAGCUUGACACUGAACAUUGAGCCUUGAUGUGUAGGAUAGGUGGGAGGCUUUGAAGUGUGGACGCCAGUCUGCAUGGAGCCGACCUUGAAAUACCACCCUUUAAUGUUUGAUGUUCUAACGUUGACCCGUAAUCCGGGUUGCGGACAGUGUCUGGUGGGUAGUUUGACUGGGGCGGUCUCCUCCUAAAGAGUAACGGAGGAGCACGAAGGUUGGCUAAUCCUGGUCGGACAUCAGGAGGUUAGUGCAAUGGCAUAAGCCAGCUUGACUGCGAGCGUGACGGCGCGAGCAGGUGCGAAAGCAGGUCAUAGUGAUCCGGUGGUUCUGAAUGGAAGGGCCAUCGCUCAACGGAUAAAAGGUACUCCGGGGAUAACAGGCUGAUACCGCCCAAGAGUUCAUAUCGACGGCGGUGUUUGGCACCUCGAUGUCGGCUCAUCACAUCCUGGGGCUGAAGUAGGUCCCAAGGGUAUGGCUGUUCGCCAUUUAAAGUGGUACGCGAGCUGGGUUUAGAACGUCGUGAGACAGUUCGGUCCCUAUCUGCCGUGGGCGCUGGAGAACUGAGGGGGGCUGCUCCUAGUACGAGAGGACCGGAGUGGACGCAUCACUGGUGUUCGGGUUGUCAUGCCAAUGGCACUGCCCGGUAGCUAAAUGCGGAAGAGAUAAGUGCUGAAAGCAUCUAAGCACGAAACUUGCCCCGAGAUGAGUUCUCCCUGACUCCUUGA